CCUACGGGGGGCAGCAGUGAGGAAUAUUGGUCAAUGGGCGCGAGCCUGAACCAGCCAAGUAGCGUGAAGGAUGACUGCCCUACGGGUUGUAAACUUCUUUUAUACAGGAAUAAAGUGAGGCACGUGUGCCUUUUUGUAUGUACUUUAUGAAUAAGGAUCGGCUAACUCCGUGCCAGCAGCCGCGGUAAUACGGAGGAUCCGAGCGUUAUCCGGAUUUAUUGGGUUUAAAGGGAGCGUAGAUGGGCUGUUAAGUCAGUUGUGAAAGUUUGCGGCUCAACCGUAAAAUUGCAACUGAAACUGGCAGCCUUGAGUACAGUGGAGGUAGGCGGAAUUCGUGGUGUAGCGGUGAAAUGCUUAGAUAUCACGAAGAACUCCGAUUGCGAAGGCAGCUUACUAAACUGCCACUGACAUUGAUGCUCGAAAGUGUGGGUAUCAAACAGGAUUAGAUACCCGAGUAGUC
rnacentral:rRNA from 1 species